rnacentral:lncRNA from 1 species
GGAUAUCAUUGAUGACCCAAGGAAGAUGCAAAAACCCAUGAGAGACUUGCGAGUCGUUGGACAUGAAGCCCAGUCCGAGUCACAAAAAGCUUGGAUUUUGAAGUUAUUUUCGGCUGGAAAAAACAAACCUUGCUCGGGGUACUGUUUUAAGUAUUUGAUGAGGUGAAGUGCGGCGUCAAAGUGCGACUUUCUGGGUUAUUGCAUGAACUGACUUAAAUGCUGGGUGGAGUAACAUAUGUCUGGUCUGGUAAAAUUGAGGUAGAGCAGCCAUCCAAUCAAACGUAUGUAUUUUUCUGAAUUCGGUAAGAUCUCACCCUAUUCUGUGUUUAGUUUCAAUCCAGUUGGUAAAGGAAAAUGAUUCCCUUUUGCCUCUUACAUGUCUGUAUCCAGUAAGAUAGCUUUAAUGUAUUUUCUUUGACUGAUGUGAAUUCCCCCUUUUGAUCUGGCUAUUUCAACUCCAAGAAAAUACCGCGCUUGUCCCAAAUCCCUCCCCAUGAAUGCCUCAUCCAACGCCUUUUUUACUUUGCUAAUUCCUGUUUCGUCUUGCCUAGUAAUUAGUAGAUCAUCCACGUAUACAAUUAUCGCAAUGUAGUUUUCUGCCCUCCCUUUUGUAAACAGGCAAUGAUCUGCUUCAGAUUUAGUAAAGCCAAUAGAAUUGAGCUUUAAAGUGAGCUCUUUGUUCCAUUGACGUCCAGCCUGCUUUAGCCCAUACGGGCUCUUAGUUAGACAACAAACGUAGUAUUUACCUGCUUUAGUGUAGCCAUCUGGAGGUUUUAAAUAUAGCUCUUCUUCGAUGUAACCAUGUAAAUAGGCGUUGUUUACAUCCAAUUGGUGGAUAGGUCAAUCUUUAGCGGCUGCUAUGGCGAGGAGUAGCCGAACAGUUACCAUUUUGGCUACUGGCGAAAAAUUGUCAUGGUAGUCGACACCAAAUUCUUGGUUGUAACCCUUGGCGACAAGUCUCGCCUUGUAUUUAUCCACAGUUCCAUAUGUGUUAUACUUAAUUUUGUACACCCAUUUUGAGUCAAUUGCUUUUCUUUUUUUGACAGCAAAGUUAGUUCCCAUGUGUUGUUAUUUUCUAAGGCAUUUAAUUCAGAAUGCAUAGCAUCAACCCACCUACUGUCCUCCUUAGCUACCUUGUAAGAUUUUGGUUCCUGUAUAACCGAAACAUGUGCAACAAAAUUGACAUAGUCAUGAUUAUAUGCAGGUGGGGUGGACAUAAAAGAAUGAAGGUAUGUUAAUGGUGUUUCGGUUAUGUGUGCAAUAAAAUCCUCCAUCCAGGAAGGUCUGU